CCUACGGGUAGCAGCAGUGAGGAAUAUUGGUCAAUGGACGAGAGUCUGAACCAGCCAAGUAGCGUGAAGGAUGACUGCCCUAUGGGUUGUAAACUUCUUUUAUAUGGGAAUAAAAUGUUCCACGUGUGGGAUUUUGUAUGUACCAUAUGAAUAAGGAUCGGCUAACUCCGUGCCAGCAGCCGCGGUAAUACGGAGGAUCCGAGCGUUAUCCGGAUUUAUUGGGUUUAAGGGGAGCGUAGGUGGAUUGUUAAGUCAGUUGUGAAAGUUUGCGGCUCAACCGUAAAAUUGCAGUUGAAACUGGCAGUCUUGAGUACAGUAGAGGUGGGCGGAAUUCGUGGUGUAGCGGUGAAAUGCUUAGAUAUCACGAAGAACUCCGAUUGCGAAGGCAGUUCACUGGACUGCAACUGACACUGAGGCUCGAAAGUGUGGGUAUCAAACAGGAUUAGAUACCCUAGUAGUC
rnacentral:rRNA from 1 species